AGAAAAAUGCCAAUCACAGCUAUACCAUCAGGUUGCUUCAGAGAUUCUCCAAAUGUGUUAUAUUUUGGGUUCCAGUGGACCAAAUGAAGCUGAAAACCACCGAAUACAGUUUUUAAGUUUUCACUGUACAAGACCCAGAGAAGAUUACGGCAGACUUGACUACCUACCUCUGCUGCAUAUUUGACUCCAUCCACAAUGUGCUCAGAGCCAUGGUCAUCUGAGGAGCCCCAGUGAAGAUGAAACUGGCGCAGUCGGUAGGGUCCAGUGAGAGGACCACCCCUCAGCACUGUGAUUCAGAGAAAUCAAGUCAAUAGUGAACUUGCACUCUUUUAUAGAGCCCUGCUUCUUCCUAUGUGUGAUCUGACAGCUAAGGUUUGAUGGGCAAAAGGAGUUUACUCUGCUGGGCAACUGGUGCUGUCUCUUUCUCACAAAAUCAAGCAUUUAAAAUAUAUGAAAUGAA